ensembl:snoRNA
UAGGCCCUGAAUCAAGACCAAUGUUUGCUGUAGCUGUUGGUUUCAAAUGGGAGCCAAGAGAUAACUUCCCUUGGUCUGUUGGCUAUUCAGUAUCUCAGUGGGAAUGGCCAAUUCAUUUGGAAGAAAUGUGG